CCAGUCUGGCUCAGUCGGUAGAGCAUGUGACUCUUGAUCUCAGGGUUGUGGGUUCAAGCUCCACUAGACUGGA
rnacentral:tRNA from 1 species